rnacentral:rRNA from 1 species
GACGUAGGGCGCAAGCGUUGUCCGGAUUUAUUGGGCGUAAAGAGCUCGUAGGCGGCCUGUCGCGUCGACCGUGAAAACCCGCAGCUCAACUGCGGGCUUGCGGUCGAUACGGGCAGGCUGGAGUUCGGUAGGGGAGACUGGAAUUCCUGGUGUAGCGGUGAAAUGCGCAGAUAUCAGGAGGAACACCGGUGGCGAAGGCGGGUCUCUGGAACGCAACUGACGCUGAGACGCGAAAGCGUGGGGAGCAAACAGG